UCCCUUAGGGCCGAGGCCAGAGUGUCCCCAAUGUCCCUGUCCCCAGUGUCCUUCAGGGUGGUGGCAUCGCUGUCCCCAGUGUCCCUGAUGUCCCCAGUGUCCCCAAUGUCCUGCAGGGUGGGGACAUCCCUGUCCCCAAUGUCCCCAAUGUCCCCAAUGUCCCUGACACCCCCCAGGUCCCCAAUGUCCCCAAGGUUCUUGACGCCCCCAAUGUCCCCAAUGAUGUCCCCAAUGUCCCUGAUGUCCCCAGUGAUGUCCCCAGUGUCCCCAAGGUUCCUGAUGUCCCCGACGUCUUUGAUGUCCCCAACACUCUUGAUGUCCCCAAUGCCUUUGAUGUCCCCAAUGAUGUCCCCAAUGUCCUCGAUGCCUUUGGUGUCCCCAACGUCCCCAGGGUUCUUGAUGUCCCCAGUGUCCCCAACAUCCCCGAUGUCCCCAGCAAUGUCCCCAAGGUCCCCAGCGAUGUCCCCAGGGUUCUUGAUGUCCCCAGUGAUGUCCCCAAUGUCCCCAAGGUUCUUGAUGUCCCCAAUGAUGUCCCCAACGUCCCCAAUGCCUUUGAUGUCCCCAGCGAUGUCCCCAGGGUUCUUGAUGUCCCCAAUGUCCCCAACAUCCCCGAUGUCCCCAAAGUUCCUGAUGUCCCCAAUAACGUCCCCAAUGUCCUUGGUGCCUUUGAUGUCCCCAGUGUCCCCAAUGUCCCCAAUGAUGUCCCCAAUGUCCUCAGGGCCUUUGAUGUCCCCGAUGUCCCCAAGGUUCUUGAUGUCCCCAACGUCCCCAAUGAUGUCCCCAAUGUCCUCAGGGCCUUUGAUGUCCCCAAGGUCCCCAGCGAUGUCCCCAGUGUCCCUGAUGUCCCCAAUGAUGUCCCUGACAUCCUCGGUGCCUUUGAUGUCCCCAUCGCCCC
rnacentral:lncRNA from 1 species